CAAGACUUUGCCUGCUGUGAUAAGGAAUUUCCAGUACAUGAGAGUGCACUCACUUCCUUGUCCUCUAGGACAAUACUAAGAUUUGUUUCCCAACAAAAUAUGCCACUUACAUUCAGAAUAUUGCAGAAGAAGUCAUGCAGAGAAUGAGUUUUGGAGAUAUUCAAUCCUAGAAUCCAGCAUGGUCUCAUUCUUUCACCAGGCUUCGAGGGGAGAGGGACCAACAAGAAUGUAGUUCUGGAGUGAUGGCCAGAUUUGGGCAUGGAGAUACAAGAAGUCUGGAAUGGGGUGCUGAGACACACUGGUAACCGGUUCUGAUAAUGUUUUCAAUCCUAAAUAUGCAAUCAUAUAAAAACAAAGCAAUCCAAUAAAAGUGUUUGGGUAGCAGUAGCUGAGCCUUG
rnacentral:lncRNA from 1 species